rnacentral:rRNA from 1 species
UACAGAGACUGCAAGCGUUAUUCGGAUUCACUGGGCGUAAAGGGUGCGCAGGCGGCCAAGUGUGUGAGGCGUGAAAGCCCGGGGCUUAACCCCGGAAUUGCACCUCGAACUACAUGGCUAGAGCAUUGGAGAGGGUAGCGGAAUUCACGGUGUAGCAGUGAAAUGCGUAGAUAUCGUGAGGAACACCAGAGGCGAAGGCGGCUACCUGGACAAUUGCUGACGCUCAGGCACGAAAGCGUGGGGAGCAAAAGGG